CUAUAAUGCAGUCGAGCGCGUGAAGCUAAACCGAUUCCUUCGGGAUGACGUUUAGUGGAACGAGCGGCGGACGGGUGAGUAACACGUGGGCAACCUACCUAUAAGACUGGGAUAACUCGUGGAAACGCGAGCUAAUACCGGAUAAUACAACCGACCUCCUGGUCAAUUGUUGAAAGAUGGCUCUUUUGAGCUAUCACUUACAGAUGGGCCCGCGGCGCAUUAACUAGUUGGUGAGGUAACGGCUCACCAAGGGAACGAUGCGUAACCGACCUGAAAGGGUGAUCGGCCACACUGGGACUGAAACACGGCCCAAACUCCUACGGGAGGCAGCAGUAGGGAAUCUUCCGCAAUGGACGAAAGUCUGACGGAACAACCCCCCGUGAACGAAAAAGGUUUUCGGAUCNUAAAGUUCUGUUGUUAGGGAAGAACAAGUACCGUUCGAAUAGGGCGGUACCUUGACGGUACCUAACGAGGAAGCCCCGGCUAACUACGUGCCAGCAGCCGCGGUAAUACGUAAGGGGCAAGCGUUGUCCGGAAUUAUUGGGCGUAAAGCGCGCGCAGGCGGUUUUUUAAGUCUGAUGUGAAAUCUUGUGGCUCAACCACAAGCGGUCAUUGGAAACUGGAGAACUUGAGGACAGAAGAAGAGAGUGGAAUUCCACGUGUAGCGGUGAAAUGCGUANAUAUGUGGAGGAACACCAGUGGCGAAAGCGACUCUCUGGUCUGUAACUGACGCUGAGCGCGAAAGCGUGGGGAGCGAACAGAUUAGAUACCCUGGUAGUCCACGCCGUAAACGAUGAGUGCUAGUGUUUAGGGGUUUCCGCCCCUUUAUGCUGCAGUUAACGCAUUAAGCACUUCCGCCUGGGGGAGUACGGCCGCAAGGCUGAAACUCAAAAGAAUUGACGGGACCCGCACAA
rnacentral:rRNA from 1 species